UGUCCUCGGAUCAGGUAGGGAUACCCGCUGAACUUAA
rnacentral:rRNA from 1 species